rnacentral:tRNA from 1 species
UGGUUGUGGCUCAGUGGUAGAGUGCUUGCCUAUUAUGUGAGGCACUGGGUUCAAUCCUCAGCACCAA